rnacentral:rRNA from 1 species
CUGGCUCAGAUUGAACGCUGGCGGCAUGCCUUACACAUGCAAGUCGAACGGCAGCACGGGGGCAACCCUGGUGGCGAGUGGCGAACGGGUGAGUAAUACAUCGGAACGUGUCCUGGAGUGGGGGAUAGCCCGGCGAAAGCCGGAUUAAUACCGCAUACGCUCUGUGGAGGAAAGCGGGGGAUCUUUCGGGACCUCGCGCUCAAGGGGCGGCCGAUGGCAGAUUAGGUAGUUGGUGGGGUAAAGGCCUACCAAGCCGACGAUCUGUAGCUGGUCUGAGAGGACGACCAGCCACACUGGGACUGAGACACGGCCCAGACUCCUACGGGAGGCAGCAGUGGGGAAUUUUGGACAAUGGGCGCAAGCCUGAUCCAGCAAUGCCGCGUGUGUGAAGAAGGCCUUCGGGUUGUAAAGCACUUUUGUCCGGAAAGAAAACCUCUGGGUUAAUACCCUGGGGGGAUGACGGUACCGGAAGAAUAAGCACCGGCUAACUACGUGCCAGCAGCCGCGGUAAUACGUAGGGUGCGAGCGUUAAUCGGAAUUACUGGGCGUAAAGCGUGCGCAGGCGGUGAAUGUAAGACCGAUGUGAAAUCCCCGGGCUUAACCUGGGAACUGCAAUUGGUGACUGCAUCGCUCGAGUAUGGCAGAGGGGGGUAGAAUUCCACGUGUAGCAGUGAAAUGCGUAGAGAUGUGGAGGAAUACCGAUGGCGAAGGCAGCCCCCUGGGUCAAUACUGACGCUCAUGCACGAAAGCGUGGGGAGCAAACAGGAUUAGAUACCCUGGUAGUCCACGCCCUAAACGAUGUCAACUGGUUGUCGGGCCUUCAUUGGCUUGGUAACGUAGCUAACGCGUGAAGUUGACCGCCUGGGGAGUACGGUCGCAAGAUUAAAACUCAAAGGAAUUGACGGGGACCCGCACUAGCGGUGGAUGAUGUGGAUUAAUUCGAUGCAACGCGAAAAACCUUACCUACCCUUGACAUGUAUGGACCCCGCUGAGAGGUGGGGGUGCCCGAAAGGGAGCCAUAACACAGGUGCUGCA